CAUCCAGGCUGGAGUGCGGGCAGUGGCUCGAUCUGGGUUCACUGCAACCGCUGCCUCCCAGGUUCAAGCAAUUCUUCUGCCUCAGCCUCCCGAGUAGCUGGGAUUACAGAUGCCUGCCACCACGCCCGGCUAAUUUUUGUAUUUUUAGUGGAGAUGGGGUUUCACCAUGCUGGCCAGGCUGGUCUCGAACUCCUGACAUCAUGAUCUGCCCACCUGUGCUUCCCAAAGUGCUGGGAUUACAGGCAUGACCGUGCCUGGCUCUUUUUUUUUUUUUUUUUUUGAGAUGGAGUCUCACUCUGUCGCCCAGGCUGGAGUGCAAUGGCACAAUCUUGGCUCACUGCAACCUCCGUCUCCCAGGUUCAAGCAAUUCUCCUACCUCAGCUUCUCGAGUAGCUGGGAUUACAGGCGCCCGUCACCACACUGGGCUAAUUUUUGUAUUUUUAGUGGAGAUGGGAUUUUGCCAUGUUGGCCAGGCUGGUCUUGAAUUCCUGACCUUAUGAUCCACCCACUUCGGCCUCCCAAAGUGCUGGGAUUAUAGGUGUGAGCCACUGCGCCCGGCCUGUACCACACUUUCUUUAUUCAUUCAUCCAUUAAUAGACACUUCCAAAUCUUAGCUAUUGCAAACAGUGCUGCAACAAACGUUGGAGUGCGGAUAUUUCUUUGAUACACUGAUUUCUUUUCUUUUGGCUACCUCCUCAGCAGUGGGGUUGCUGGAUCAUGUCACGGCUUUAUGGUUGUCUGCUAACACCCAUUCUCCACCUUUAGCAACAGAUCUCUCAAGUGUCAGCUGAGCACACGUCUACCCAGCUAGAGACAGUCUUUCUCAGUUUCUCUUGCAGCUUAACAUGGCUGUGUGACUGCGUUCAGGCUGAGGGUGUGUAAGCAGACAACAAUAAUUUUUUUUUUACAAUAAUCUUUCAUGAAGUUAACAAACAAGAAGGAAUUAAAAUACUUGAUGAUAUUAGGGUAUGAUUUGGGAGAUGGGUAAUACGAAUUAAAAUGUUCUGAGGUCUUUGUGUUAUUUUGAUAGCGAGUAAAGAUAUUAAUUACAUUAGGCUCUGAUAAGUAUGCGCGCUACAAUUUUCAGAGUACCCUCUAAAAGGUGAAAUUUGGACUUGAAUCCAGGAUCUCAGUUUCUAAAUAAUUCUGGAAGAAGAAAAUUCUUAGAGUGCUAUUGGCUUUUCAGCUGCAGAAUACUGGCACAUCAGAAGAAUUGCUGGGAGUCCAGGACCCAACCUGUCACUGAGCGUUCCCGCAUACCUGACCCUCUGGAACUUCCCAUCACAGCCACUAGGCAGACUCACUUCUGAGCCUUUCCCAGCACACCGCUGACCCUUUCUGUUUCUCCAGCUCACUCAUUCAGAGCUCCUUCAUGUCUUCAGCCACCUCCUGCUUGCCAGCUUCCUUCUAACAGAACUUGCAUGUCAGGAAAGCUCGUUCGCCUACAAAUAAACUAUCUGAGAGACUGUGUCUUCCAGGAAGCUUCUCGUCA
rnacentral:lncRNA from 1 species